AUUUACUUUCACUGGUACUUGCCCGUGUUGGUUCAUCUGGCAGUGAAACUCUGUCUCCAAAGUUACCUUCAUUUCCUUCAGAUGAAAAUCUCACUGAUUUGGAUUCUGCUAAUUAGAAUUUGGAGUAGUUUAGGCUAAACUACUGAUUGCCUUUUUUCAUAGAGAACACAAAAUUAUUAGACUACUUACUAUCUCUAUUGGAUGCCCAAUCAAUCUAAGACUCAACAGUUGCAAAACAAAAUUCCUCAUCUCCCCAUCAAGACCUGCUCCACCCACAGCUUUCAUCACCUCAGUUGAUGACAACUGCACCUUUCCUACUUGCUCAGGUAAAAAUCUUGGAGUCAUCUUUGCCUCCUUUCUCUCACAUCCACACACCCCAUUGAUUCUACUUUUCGAAGUAUAUCCUAACCACUUCUUACCACCUCCACUGCUACCACCCUGGUUUAAGUUACCUUUAUCUUUCACUUGGAUUACUGGCAAAAGCCUGCUGUCUGCUUAGACCCUUGACCCAGUAUAGUCUACUCUCAACACUGCAGGCAGUAUAAUCCUUUAAAAAUAUAAGACAGGGCUUCCCUGGUGGCCCAGUGGUUGAGAGUCCGC